rnacentral:rRNA from 1 species
UACGGGGGGGGGCAAGCGUUGUUCGGAAUUACUGGGCGUAAAGGGCUCGUAGGCGGCCAACUAAGUCGGAUGUGAAAUCCCCAGGCUUAACCUGGGAACUGCAUCCGAUACUGGAUGGCUUGAAUCCGGGAGAGGGAUGCAGAAUUCCAGGUGUAGCGGUGAAAUGCGCAGAUAUCAGGAGGAACACCGGUGGCGAAGGCGGUUCUCUGGGCAUUACCUGACGCUGAGGAGCGAAAGUGUGGGGAGCGAACAGG